rnacentral:tRNA from 1 species
AUUUAAUUAGUUUAUUUAGAAUAAUAAUUUGUGGAGUUAUAGGUAUAAUUGUAUAUUAGAUC